rnacentral:rRNA from 1 species
GCCACCACCUCGCCAGAGUACCAAUUGGAGGGCAAGUCUGGUGCCAGCAGCCGCGGUAAUUCCAGCUCCAAUAGCGUAUAUUAAACUUGUUGCAGUUAAAAAGCUCGUAGUUGAACUUCGGCCUUGCGCGUCCUGCGGGUCUGCGCGCGGCCUUUGCGUUACUUUGAGAAAAUUAGAGUGUUUCAAGCAGGCUUUCGCCGUGAAUACUUGAGCAUGGAAUAACUGGGCAGGACCUUGGUUCUUCUUUGUUGGUUUUGUACCUGGGUAAUGGUUAAUAGGAACGGUUGGGGGCAUUCGUAUUUAACUGUCAGAGGUGAAAUUCUUAGAUUUGUUAAAGACGGACCACUGCGAAAGCAUUUGCCAAGGACGUUUCCAUUAAUCAAGAACGAAAGUUAGGGGAUCGAAGACGACCAAAUUCC